rnacentral:rRNA from 1 species
UACGAAGGGGGCUAGCGUUGCUCGGAAUUACUGGGCGUAAAGCGCACGUAGGCGGCUUUGCAAGUUAGAGGUGAAAGCCCGGGGCUCAACUCCGGAAUUGCCUUUAAAACUGCAUCGCUAGAAUUGUGGAGAGGUAAGUGGAAUUCCGAGUGUAGAGGUGAAAUUCGAUAGAUAUUCGGAAGAACACCAGUGGCGAAGGCGACUUACUGGACACAUAUUGACGCUGAGGUGCGAAAGCGUGGGGAGCAAACAGG